AAGUUCGGUGGGCUCCAGGCGUCGCGAUGGAGGAGAGCGGGUACGAGUCGGUGCUCUGUGUCAAGCCUGACGUCCACGUCUACCGCAUCCCUCCGCGGGCUACCAACCGUGGCUACAGCGCUAACCGGUGGCCUUGAAGGGAUCCUCGAAAAGCCUUAAGCGGGGAGGUGCCCUAUCACAGACGGAAAUCCCCGAGAGGAGGGGAGGGAGCCCAGAGCCGGCUGAAAGGACCGGUCCCGGGGAGCUUUAAGGUGACGGUCGAAGCCCAGGGACCCCUUCCUACCCAGAUCCCUUCGCACGAAUUUCACCCUUGAUCACAGCCUGGAGCAGUUGGGAGGACCCCUUCUAUAUUUCUCUGGUCUCUACCUGAGACGAAUAAACACACACGCUUGUAAACAUACUGAGUAUCUCUGCAAAGGAACACAGGAAACUGCCCUAGGGGAGGGGAACCGCCCUUGGAAGGAAACUUCCUUUCCCUUUUGUGCUGUUUGCGUUUUACUACUCUUUGUAUGCGUUAUCUAUCAAAACGACGAAAAAUAUUAAAAGAAAAAAGAUACACUUCAUACAGACAA
rnacentral:misc_RNA from 1 species